rnacentral:rRNA from 1 species
UACGGAGGAUGCAAGCGUUAUCCGGAUUUAUUGGGUUUAAAGGGUGCGUAGGCGGACCUUUAAGUCAGUGGUGAAAUAUGCCGGCCCAACCGGCAGGCUGCCAUUGAUACUGGAGGACUUGAGUACGAGCGGCGCCGGCGGAAUGUGCAAUGUAGCGGUGAAAUGCUUAGAUAUUGCACAGAACACCGAUCGCGAAGGCAGCUGGCGAGGACGGUACUGACGCUGAGGCACGAAGGUGCGGGGAUCAAAC